rnacentral:lncRNA from 1 species
AUGAAGGAAGCUGUGCGCAGCGGAGAUUGUGCUGGUAGGGGCAGAGGCCCAGGAUCUAGACAAUGGUGCACAAAUUACAGUGAAGUCGGUAGACUUCGAGAGCUACUAGGCGACGGACUGUCCUAGAGCGGUGCUUCAUCUAGGUAUGACCCAAGAGUGGGUGGAUGAAGGUCGAUUGCCAAAGGAGCGAACAAAAUCGAAGGUGGAAGAGACCCUGUGAUGUAUUGGCAGAGGCCACACAUGGAGGGUUCACAAUUCGAGUUUAUUCCACAAGGAUCAGAAUGCAAU